GGCUUAACACAUGCAAGUCGGACGGUAGCAGGAGAAAGCUUGCUUUCUUGCUGACGAGUGGCGGACGGGUGAGUAAUGCUUGGGAAUCUGUCUUAUGGAGGGGGAUAACGACGGGAAACUGUCGCUAAUACCGCGUAGAGUCGGGAGACGAAAGUGCGGGACUUUAUGGCCGCAUGCCAUGAGAUGAGCCCAAGUGUGAUUAGGUAGUUGGUGGGGUAAAGGCCUACCAAGCCGACGAUCGCUAGCUGGUCUGAGAGGAUGGCCAGCCACACCGGGACUGAGACACGGCCCGGACUCCUACGGGAGGCAGCAGUGGGGAAUAUUGCGCAAUGGGGGCAACCCUGACGCAGCCAUGCCGCGUGAAUGAAGAAGGCCUUCGGGUUGUAAAGUUCUUUCGGUAUUGAGGAAGGWUGGUGUGUUAAUAGCAUGCCAAAUUGAC
rnacentral:rRNA from 1 species